AACUUUCAGCAGUGGAUCUCUUGGCUCUCGCAUCGAUGAAGAACGCAGCGAAAUGCGAUAAGUAAUGUGAAUUGCAGAAUUCAGUGAAUCAUCGAAUCUUUGAACGCACCUUGCGCUCCUUGGUAUUCCGAGGAGCAUGCCUGUUUGAGUGUCAUUAAAUUCUCAACCUUAUUGGCUUUUGCUAAUAAUGGAUUGGAUGUGGGGGACUCUUUUGUUGGCUUCUUCGCAGAGGUCAGCUCCCCUUAAAUGCAUUAGCUGGUGCCCCGCGUGGACCAUCUAUUGGUGUGAUAAUUAUCUACGCCGUGGAUGUCUGCAAUCAUAUGGGUUUUGCACUGCUUCUAACCGUCUGUUCAUUCGGACAAUACAUGACAAUUUGACCUCAAAUCAGGUAGGACUACCCGCUGAACUUAAGCAUAUCAAUAAGCGGAGGCU
rnacentral:misc_RNA from 1 species